rnacentral:rRNA from 1 species
GACGGAGGGGGCAAGCGUUGUCCGGAAUCACUGGGCGUAAAGCGCGCGUAGGUGGCACAGUGCGUCGGUGCUGAAAGCGCCGGGCUUAACCCGGCGAGGUGCAGCGAUACGACUGGGCUCGAGGCAGGGAGAGGGUGGCGGAAUUCCGGGUGUAGUGGUGAAAUGCGUAGAGAUCCGGAGGAACGCCAGUGGUGCAGACGGCCACCUGGCCCUGACCUGACACUGAGGCGCGAAAGCGUGGGGAGCGAACAGG